UUUACCUUUGUAAUUUCAUUAAUUGGCAGACUGUUCGUCAUUAUGCUUCAUUUUUGGAGUUGUUAGAAUCAGAGCAUCUUGCGAAAGUCCUUCCUGGAGUUAAAACUGUUGAAUAAGGUGUGCAAAUUUAUAGGAAGUUUUAUGUUGAGGAGAAGAAAAGGCUCAAUGGUGUCCUGCAAUAUGUGUUUCUAAAGUGGCUACUCAGCCUUGCAUUACACGGGCCACCAUUCUGUCUGGACUGGUUCGGGUCUUGCACGUACUCCUGGAACAACUUCGGAUGCACUUCCCUUAGGGCUGCAAUCCAGCCGAGCCGAGUUGAGUAUUGAGAACCUUGAGCUCAGUUCUGUUGGAAUAGUCAAAGCUCGAGCUCGAGCUCAAGCUAUAUAGAUAUAUGAUCGGCUUAGGCUCGACUUGAGCUCAACUCGAUUAUAGAUAUAUAUUAUUUUAAUUGAAUAAUAUUUUGAUUUUUAUAUAUAAUAUUAAUUUAAAAUUAAAA